rnacentral:rRNA from 1 species
UACGUAGGUCCCGAGCGUUGUCCGGGUUUAUUGGGCAUAAAGCGAGCGCAGGUGGUUUAUUAAGUCUGGUGUAAAAGGCAGUGGCUCAACCAUUGUAUGCAUUGGAAACUGGUAGACUUGAGUGCAGGAGAGGAGAGUGGAAUUCCAUGUGUAGCGGUGAAAUGCGUAGAUAUAUGGAGGAACACCGGUGGCGAAAGCGGCUCUCUGGCCUGUAACUGACACUGAGGCUCGAAAGCGUGGGGAGCAAACAGG